GACCUGGCGGCGUGCUAAUCAUGCAAGUCGAACGCACGAAGUUGAAGAGCUUGCUCUUUAAUCAAGUGAGUGGCGGACGGGUGAGUAACACGUGGGUAACCUGCCCAUUAGAGGGGGAUAACAUUCGGAAACGGAUGCUAAUACCGCAUAGUUUCAGGAAUCGCAUGAUUCUUGAAGGAAAGGUGGCCUCGGCUACCACUAAUGGAUGGACCCGCGGCGUAUUAGCUAGUUGGUGAGGUAAUGGCUCACCAAGGCAAUGAUACGUAGCCGACCUGAGAGGGUGAUCGGCCACACUGGGACUGAGACACGGCCCAGACUCCUACGGGAGGCAGCAGUAGGGAAUCUUCCGCAAUGGACGAAAGUCUGACGGAGCAACGCCGCGUGAGUGAAGAAGGUUUUCGGAUCGUAAAACUCUGUUGUUAAAGAAGAACAAGGAUGAGAGUAACUGCUCAUCCCCUGACGGUAUUUAACCAGAAAGCCACGGCUAACUACGUGCCAGCAGCCGCGGUAAU
rnacentral:rRNA from 1 species